CCCCUUUGCAAGACCCGGCAAGGGUUCUAUAUAGGGCCUGUCGGGUCGCACCCGACUAUGACGCUAAACCCUUCAUGGAAUAAGCGUAGCGGACCCGGGGGCAGUACCCGGCGGCUCCACCAACUUCUCGACGGGGCCGAAACAGGAUCGACGCGCGUGGUAAAGAUGAAGGUUGCGUCCGGCAUGGCUCCACCGUUAUCGGGCCAUACGCAAUAGUUGCCAACGACAACUUUGCUCCGGCUCGCGCCGCCGCGUAACGCGGUGUCGUGACCGAAAUUGAAGCCCUGGCGGUUAGCCCCGUCAGGCGGGGUCCGGGAGGCACCUGGCAACAGAAGCCUCCCACU
rnacentral:tmRNA from 1 species